AUGUGCCACCAUGCCUGACUGUGUCUGAUUUUCUAAGAAUGGUAGGUAGAUAUUGUAUUUAAUAUUUUUUAGAACAUUAUUAUUAGGAUGUGCUUGAAACUUAACUCAAGAAGGUUUCUCUGAAGCCCAUCACUAUGGGUUCUGCACUUGUCACUUUAUCCCUUCCCUGUAAAGGAGACAGACAGUACUCACUGUCCAACAGUCAGACUGAGUUUCAGAUGUGUCUGAACUAGUUAGAGAAAUGGUCAGCUAAGUUUACCUCCAAUAUUCACC